GAGUUUGAUCCUGGCUCAGGAUGAACGCUGGCGGCGUGCUUAACACAUGCAAGUCGAACGAAGCGAUCAGGAGGAAGUUUUCGGAUGGAAUCCGGAUUGACUGAGUGGCGGACGGGUGAGUAACGCGUGGGUAACCUGCCUCAUACAGGGGGAUAACAGUUAGAAAUGACUGCUAAUACCGCAUAAGCGCACAGGGACACAUGUUCCGGUGUGAAAAACUCCGGUGGUAUGAGAUGGACCCGCGUCUGAUUAGCUGGUUGGCGGGGUAACGGCCCACCAAGGCGACGAUCAGUAGCCGACCUGAGAGGGUGACCGGCCACAUUGGGACUGAGACACGGCCCAAACUCCUACGGGAGGCAGCAGUGGGGAAUAUUGCACAAUGGGGGAAACCCUGAUGCAGCAACGCCGCGUGAGUGAAGAAGUAUUUCGGUAUGAAAGCU
rnacentral:rRNA from 1 species